GUCCAGUCAAUCUGUAAUUGUACCCACAACUAAUUGCAACAGAAAUAAUUUUUCGAUAAUAUUGUAGAUAAAUAUCACCUCUUCAACAUAUCAAAAGUCUAGCAAAGUCUAGCCAGGGCAAACUACCGAAAAAUGACUUUUAAUAUGACAGAUUUUCAUGGCCCUAAAUUACCACCGUAGAAGAUAAAAUGAUCAGAUGCACGGUAUACAAGCGUUCGCGCGAUAUGAUGUGAUCGUCUGCUUUUGAUGAAAGAUCCUAGAUUUAAGUCAUUUUGGAGAUGUUAGAUCAACAAUCAACGAUGUCAAAGGUGUGGGUUUAGAAUUUCAAAAAAAGAUGCUAAUAUGGAACUGCCAAACAAUCUGAUCAGCACCAAACCUGCUGCAGCUGCAUCGGAAAAAUGACCAAGACCAUGUUAAGUUACGCCAGAAGGAAGUGAUAGCAUAAAUGCUGCCAGCGAAGUUCGCUUGGACAAGAUUACUUCCAUACCCGGACAGACCGUUCAUACGUACAUUGUCGGAAAGAUUAUUGUAACCCAAUUCGAAUCAAGCUAUCCUUAAAUAAAAAGCCAACAAAGACUGUAUUAUCUCCACCAUUACGAUCUAACACUGAACGAUUUAACUUCAGUACAAAAUGUCUAUUUUGUGCUCAACGUGCCAAAUUUGUUGGAAGAAAACGAGGCUAUAAUGUAUACCCUGUUAGAACAGUUGAAUUUAAAAAGAACAUAGAACAAAUAUGUAUCGAUAGGGAUGACAAACAGGGUUCAGAUAUUAAGAGCAGAUUGGAAACAAUACAUGACUUAGCGGCUGCUGUUGCUAUAUACCAUUAGUCAUGCAGCGUAAAUUUUAGGACAGGUAAAAAUAUACCACAGUCAGGCAAUGAAAAAGGAAAAAAGUGUGGAAGACCAGUGAACAUGGCACAGGAAUUUGCUUUCCAGGAAAUAGCAAAGUUCCUGAUUGAAAAUGAUGACGAACAAAUAACACUAAAAGACCUUGUUGACAAAAUGGUAGAACUAUGUGGAGAACUCUCCUAUACAUUAACUCAUAUGAAGAAGAGAUUACUAGAGCAUUUUGGGUCCUCUAUUGUCAUCACAGAAUUAAAUGGAAAGCAGAAUGUAAUCACAUUUAGAAACACUGCAUCAUCAAUUCUUCAUUCAUUUUACCAAAAGUCUAGUAGCGAUUCUGAUGCUUAUAAAAUUGAAAUAAUAAAAACAGCAGCACAACUAUUGCUAACUGAUAUAAAGGAUAUUAAAGCAACAAUAACAAUGAUUUAAUAGUAACAUGUAUUUAAUGGGUGGGUGGGGUAAGUUUACCCCUAUAAAUGCACUAUUUACAUGAGUAAAUAUGUUAAGAAACUUCAUGAUACACUUAGGUAAUAGAAAAAUAAUACUGUUUUCAUAACUGAUGUAUUACUGAAUACUGUUUUUGUCGGGUGGUUUGCUCGAAAUGUGUUGUUUGAAUAGAAAAUGGAAAAUAUACUUUAUUUAAAAAAACGUCCGCGAGGGGCAUAAAUAAAAUGAAGUUUUAACAGGUUUGCCCUGGAAAUAUUU